CCUACGGGAGGCAGCAGUAAGGAAUAUUGGUCAAUGGACGCAAGUCUGAACCAGCCAUGCCGCGUGAAGGAUGAAGGCCCUUGGGUUGUAAACUUCUUUUAUCUGGGAAGCGGUACCAGAGGAAUAAGCACCGGCUAACUCCGUGCCAGCAGCCGCGGUAAUACGGAGGGUGCAAGCGUUAUCCGGAUUCACUGGGUUUAAAGGGUGCGUAGGUGGGAAUGUAAGUCAGUGGUGAAAUCUCCGUGCUUAACAUGGAAACUGCCAUUGAUACUAUGUUUCUUGAAUUUUCCGGAGGUAAGCGGAAUAUGUCAUGUAGCGGUGAAAUGCUUAGAUAUGACAUAGAACACCAAUUGCGAAGGCAGCUUACUACGGAUAUUGACACUGAGGCACGAAAGCGUGGGGAUCAAACAGGAUUAGAUACCCUUGUAGUC
rnacentral:rRNA from 1 species